GCCAGACUCCUACGGGAGGCAGCAGUGGGGGAUAUUGCACAAUGGGGGGAACCCUGAUGCAGCGACGCCGCGUGGGUGAAGGAGCGUUUCGGCGCGUAAAGCCCUAUCGGCAGGGAAGAAGGAGGACGGUACCUGACUAAGAAGCCCCGGCUAACUACGUGCCAGCAGCCGCGGUAAUACGUAGGGGGCAAGCGUUAUCCGGAUUUACUGGGUGUAAAGGGGGCGCAGACGGCAGCGCAAGCCAGGAGUGAAAGCCCGGGGCCAAACCCCGGGACUGCUCUUGGAACUGCGCGGCUGGAGUGCAGGAGGGGCAGGCGGAAUUCCUGGUGUAGCGGUGAAAUGCGUAGAUAUCAGGAGGAACACCAGUGGCGAAGGCGGCCUGCUGGACGACAACUGACGGUGAGGCGCGAAAGCGUGGGGAGCAAACAGGAUUAGAUACCCCCGUAUAG
rnacentral:rRNA from 1 species